rnacentral:rRNA from 1 species
AUUGAACGCUGGCGGCAGGCCUAACACAUGCAAGUCGAGCGGAUGAAGGGAGCUUGCUCCUGGAUUCAGCGGCGGACGGGUGAGUAAUGCCUAGGAAUCUGCCUGGUAGUGGGGGAUAACGUCCGGAAACGGGCGCUAAUACCGCAUACGUCCUGAGGGAGAAAGUGGGGGAUCUUCGGACCUCACGCUAUCAGAUGAGCCUAGGUCGGAUUAGCUAGUUGGUGGGGUAAAGGCCUACCAAGGCGACGAUCCGUAACUGGUCUGAGAGGAUGAUCAGUCACACUGGAACUGAGACACGGUCCAGACUCCUACGGGAGGCAGCAGUGGGGAAUAUUGGACAAUGGGCGCAAGCCUGAUCCAGCCAUGCCGCGUGUGUGAAGAAGGUCUUCGGAUUGUAAAGCACUUUAAGUUGGGAGGAAAGGCAGUAAGUUAAUACCUUGCUGUUUUGACGUUACCAAAAGAAUAAGCACCGGCUAACUUCGUG